rnacentral:rRNA from 1 species
GUGAACGAGCGACGCCGCGUGCGGGAUGAAGGCCCUCGGGUUGUAAACCGCUGUCGAGGGGGAGGAAGGCGAAAGCUUGACCUAUCCCUGGAGGAAGCACGGGCUAAGUUCGUGCCAGCAGCCGCGGUAAGACGAACUGUGCGAACGUUGUUCGGAAUCACUGGGCUUAAAGGGUGCGUAGGCGGCCCGUUAAGUCGGGGGUGAAAUACUUCGGCUCAACCGGAGAAUUGCCUUCGAUACUGGCGGGCUGGAGGAAGGUAGGGGUCGCGGGAACUGCCAGUGGAGCGGUGAAAUGCGUUGAUAUUGGCAGGAACGCCGGUGGUGAAGACGCGCGGCUGGACCUUUUCUGACGCUGAGGCACGAAAGCCAGGGGAGCAAACGGGAUUAGAUACCCCGGUAGUCCUGGCCCUAAACGAU